GGGAAUAUUGCACAAUGGGGGAAACCCUGAUGCAGCGACGCCGCGUGAGUGAAGAAGUAUUUCGGUAUGUAAAGCUCUAUCAGCAGGGAAGAAAAUGACGGUACCUGACCAAGAAGCCCCGGCUAACUACGUGCCAGCAGCCGCGGUAAUACGUAGGGGGCAAGCGUUAUCCGGAUUUACUGGGUGUAAAGGGAGCGUAGACGGUUGUGCAAGUCAGAAGUGAAAACCCGGGGCUUAACCCCGCGGAUUGCUUUUGGAACUGUCAGGCUGGAGUGCAGGAGGGGCAGGCGGAAUUCCUGGUGUAGCGGUGAAAUGCGUAGAUAUCAGGAGGAACACCGGUGGCGAAGGCGGCCUGCUGGACUGUAACUGACACUGAGGCUCGAAAGCGUGGGGAGCAAACAGG
rnacentral:rRNA from 1 species